AUGUAGACUGCAUUGGUCCAUGCGAGAUGCUUGGACAUAUUCUUUAGGCAGAGAUCUUCUGGAGUUUAGGAUAGACCUAAUACCUAUAGUGAGGGUAUUAGAUCUUUUGCAAAUAUUAUAGGGGCUGAAAAGAGGUAAGAGAGAUUCUCCUAUUUGAGCAUUUUCUGGAAGAGUAGAUAUUUCAAUAAGAUUAUCUAUUCUGUAAGAAAGG
rnacentral:misc_RNA from 1 species